GACGAACGCUGGCGGCGUGCUUAACACAUGCCAGUCGAACGGUGAAGCGAGUGCUUGCACUCGUGGAUCAGUGGCGAACGGGUGAGUAACACGUGAGUAACCUGCCCAUCACUCUGGGAUAAGCACUGGAAACGGUGUCUAAUACUGGAUACGACCAACCCUUGCAUGGGGUGUUGGUGGAAAGAUUUAUCGGUGAUGGAUGGACUCGCGGCCUAUCAGCUUGUUGGCGGGGUAAUGGCCCACCAAGGCGACGACGGGUAGCCGGCCUGAGAGGGUGACCGGCAACAGUGGGAAGGAGACCGGGCCGAGACUCCGCGGGGGGGCGGGGGGGGGGAAUAUGGAAGAGGGGGGGAGGGCUGGAGGCAGCGACCCGGGGGGAGGGAGGACGCCUUGGGGUUUGUAAACUUCUUCCAGCGGGAAAGAACGAAAGGUGAGGGUCCCUGAAAAAAAAACCCGGCCAAACUCCGGC
rnacentral:rRNA from 1 species